CCGGUGGUUUCUUCUUUAGCAGUGGCCUUCCCAGCCCGUUCUAGUGGUUGUAGAAAAUCAUGAGUCUUGAGUAAACCUUGAGAAGGUGGCCUUGGAUCUUGUUGGGCAGCUGAAUGACUGUACAGUGAGAGAAAGUCGUGUGUUGGCUUCCUUCCUUCGGUUUCGAAGAGACGCUGUUGUUGAGGAAGUUCCAUCCUCGACCGAGAUGGCUUUGAACCAACUUUAUUUCCUUUUUUUUUUUUUUUUGGAAGAAAAAAACUGAAUUAUUCCGGUGAUCAAUAUCUAUGAACUAUUUUACGAAACUGUUUGGAUUCUGGAGCUGGGGGGCUGAUUUCCAGAUUUUGAAAACUCAAGAGAUUCUUCUGUUUCAUGUAAAUGCUUCUCCUUGUUGUCAGAUCCGUUUCUCUAGCAAAAGCAGAAUAUUUUUAUAGAUGUGAGGGCUCCGCCUGAGAUCGGAGGAGCAUUUAAUUCCCUACGCAAAUUGAGGUCUGGAUUUGAACGUUAAGACUCCGAUUCCCAGCAGCUGUGUUCGAAAUGCUCUCUUCUGAUUUUUUUUUUUUUUUUCCUUUCGCCAGAAAAUUCUCUCAAACACUAUUCAACUCCAGAAUUGACUUCACCGCUAGAAUCACCAACAGAGCUCCAAAUCUCAGAUAUACCGAAUCUCUGAUCUGAAUUAUGGAAAUUUACGUGAAGUUCCAGCUGGGAAAUGCGUCAAAAACCAUUUCAGCACCAAAAUAUAAAGAGAAAUUGAUCUUAACCGGAUGAUAAAUUCUGCUGGAAAUCGAACGGAAUUCCCAGAUAUAAAAUGCUUAAAGAAUCUUUUUCGAAUUUCGACCAAAAAUAUCUCUCCUUUUUCCCCAAAAGAAAAAGUUAUUUUCUUCUUAACAUACAGCGGUGUCAAAGAAAGGGCAACAGGUAGGAGAGUCUCUCUCUCUCUCUCUCUCUCUCUC
rnacentral:misc_RNA from 1 species